GAUAGUCAGAAACAUCGAUGAGAGAGAAACAUCGAUCAGCUGCCUCCUGCACAUCUCCCACUGGGGAUGUGCCCGCAACCCAGGUACAUGCCCUUGACCAAAAUCGAACCCGGGACCCUUCAGUCCGCAGGCCGACGCUCUAUCCACUGAGCCAAACCGGUUUCGGCGACAUUUAAAUUCUUUACAAGGAAAAUGUGAGAUCUUUGGAGAAAGCUUUUUUAUAAGCUUACCAACAUACUUCAUAUAGUUUUCCAGAAAUGCAAAUUGGUAAUCACUUUUCUGGGUGGUAAUUUGGCAGUAUGUCAGAGGAACCUUAGAAUUUCUAUCCUAAUUCCAUUUAUAGAAAUUCACCAUAAUAUAGAAACAUACACAAAAACAUCUUAUCCCAGAAAUGAAAAUAGACCACUUACAUCAUAUACAAAAAUUUAAAAAUGGAUUAAAAGACAAAAUUGAAAUGUCAGGCCUAAAAUCAUAAAACCGUAAGAAAACACAGGCAAUAAAUUUUGGACAUUGGUCUUAGCAAUAAGUCUCCUAGGGCAAAGAUAAUAAAAGCAAAAAUGAACAGAUGAGCCAAAACCAGUUUGGCUCACUUAUACCACAGAAGAAACAAAGGCAACCUACUGAACUGGAGAAAUUAUUUGCAAAUAAUAUAUCCAAUAAGGGGUUAAUAUCCAAAAUAUAUGAAGAAUUCAUACAGCUUGGCAUCAAAGAAACAAUUAGAUAAAAAAUGGACAGAGGACAUGAAUAUAAAUAUUUCUCCAAAGAGGACAUAGAGGUGGUUGACAGACACAUGGAAAGAUGCUCAACAUCACUGAUCAUUAGGGAAAUGCAAAUCAAAACCACAAAGAGAGAUGACCUCACACCAGUCAGAAUGACUAUUACCAAUAAAUCAGCCAGGCAGGUGUGCCUCAGUGGUUAAGCGUCAACCCACAAACCAGGUCACGGUUUGAUCCUUGGUCAAUGGCACAUACUGGAGCUGCAGGCUCAAACCCCAGUAGGGGCUGUGCAGGAGGCAGCUGAUCAGUGAAUCUCUAUCAUUGAUGUUUCUAUCCCUUUCUACCCUUCCUCUCUCUGAAAUUAAUAAAAAACAUUUUUUAAAAAUAGUAAAAAUAAAUCAACAAACAAGGAUGUGGAGAAAAGGGAACCCUUGUGUACUGUGUUGGAGAGAUUAUAAAUUGGUGCACCAAUUAUGAAUACAGUAUGAAAGUUCCUC